UACAUAGCCCGCCUCAUUAGUGCCCGUCCUCCAAUCCUCCGUCUUUCCUUCCAGCCUGCUGGCCAGAUGGAAUAGCAGUUUAGCAGCAGGAGGGCGCUCCAUUCUGUGACUGCCUCCAAGAGAUCACUGGAUCCUGAACAAGAAGGUGUCUCUCCUUCAGCAGUUGUCAAGCCCUACUGAAGCAGAGCCAUGCUCGAAAAUACAUCCUGCUGUACCAAAUCCACACGAAGUAAACAUCACAAUGCCGCUCUGUCGUAAUUACUACGUUCUUUACGGAACUCAGGAAGGCUAAAGACUUUGUCAUUAGUGCAGCGACUCGUUCCAGAGUUCAUCAGCUCAGAGUCACAUAGCGGGAGAUGUGUUUAAUCUGAUUAUGGAUUUCCAGUCAUGCUAGCAAGACAAGAACUUAAUACCCCUUCCCCAAUUAAUCUAUUUUAACACUGUGGAAAACAAAUUCUGCAAGACCCUAUGUGUUUUAUUUUCCUUCUAGAAUAAACACAGCAGCACUUCA